rnacentral:misc_RNA from 1 species
UCUCCGUUGGUGAACCAGCGGAGGGAUCAUUACAAGAAUAGGGUGCCCCCCGGCUCUAUCGAACCCCGCGAACCCCAUACCGGCAGCUCGCCCCGGCGCCGCGCCGCGCCUCGCGGCCGGCGCGCGCCGGGCGCGCAGGGCUCUCUCCGUCGCGCACCCAGUGCACUCUGAUCGUGGCCACCUAGACGAAUUUAAAAACUUUCAACAACGGAUCUCUUGGCUCCA